UUCUUUAUACUCUGAUGAGCACUAGAGUGAAAACUUAAGACUUUGAACAAACUUCAAAGUACCUUAAAUCGGAGGCCAAAGUAACCCUGGGCACAAAGUCUCUGCAUAGUGAUGCCCGUUAUCCCUAGAGUCUGUGUUCUUGCCAUGUCUCCUGCUGCCAUGUUCUCCCUGGUGUCUCGAAGACCAUCAUGGGGACUCCUUUUAUGACCUUUAUAGCUGUUGUGCUUAGAGGCUCCCUCCCCCCUUUCCUCCCUCAAGCCCUCACUUGUGCUGAGCCAAUGCUCAACCACUGAGAUAGAUCCUCGGUACUGUUCCUUCCCUUCAGAACACCCCACCCAAGCUCAUGCCAAGUACUCCUCACCCAUAAUGCAACUCCUCACCCAUAAUGCCCCAGUGGCUUUACUUCCACAUCUCCUAUGAUUUCCUCAACCAUCCCCCUCCCUCUCUCACUUAAAGGAGUUGACCUUUUUUUUUUUGAAACAUUAAUUGCUGCCCUAAUGAGUCCAUUUUUGUGCCUACUUCUCAGUUUGACAUUUCUGAUGUCCAGUAGGAAGACCAUUUGAAAACUAGGUGGCUUAGUAAACUCUUAAGUGACUUCAGUGUGCUCUGCUUACAGAGCGGGCAAAGGGAGGCUCGAGGAGGCCCUUGAGCAGAGGUGGAAUCCAGCAAUAUCAGUUGACCUAUAUGCUCAGUGUAUGUUCCCUGGGGAUAUUUAUGGAAGAUUCAUUUCCUCUUUAUUAAUUCAAGAAACUACUUGUCAACGAGACAUGAUUUCUCAAUGUACCCAGAGUACAGCUAUUGAAAGAAGAUUCAUGCCAGUGCAGGGUGUGGUUGGGACAGGAGACCCAACACACAUUCCAUCCAGGUCCACCUCGGAAAGUAGCCUAUCCCACUCCCUGGGCUGGUAGACAUUUUAAUUUUAAUAUUGUUUUUUUCAGUUGCUUGUAGUGUGUGUGUGUGUGUGUGUGUGUGUGUGUGUGUGUGUGUGUGCGCGCGUGCAUGAAUAGCCAGAGAACAUCCUUGAGUGUCAUUCCUGGGGUACUAUCUACCUUAUUGUUAGUUGUCUCUUGAUGUUCAAGAGAAGAGAUUUUUAUACGCUUAUUUCAUGUAGUUUCAUGCACUAAGCAACAUCUUGGAAAACAGAAUAAAUGUGUCCAGGUUUAUUUCCACAGACACACACAUCCCUUACUCUCACUAAACAAACCGAGCCUCCUUCUGGGCUGUUGUAGCAUGUGGUAUAAUCAGCUGUUCAAGCAGCAGGCCUGCUAGCCCACCAUUUACUAUGGUCUUGCUUCAUCACCGUGGCUUGGAGGAGAGGGUUGCCAGCACCUCAGCAGUAUGGCCUGUGUAUGUUCUGACCAUGCAUUGGUUAGGCAAACACCAGAUGUUCUUGAUGCCUGCAUUGCCACGGAUUCUUAGGUGGGCAGUUGAUGGCAACAACUCCAAGGUCCUGGGCAGAAGGCUCAUGAUCUAGGGAGAUCAGCCCAUCUGUUAUAGGUGCACUGGUACAGGGACUCCACUCCGAGGAUAACCGAGAACUUCAAAACCCCAGGGUUUUAUCCUAAAGGGACAUGAAAGCACAGUAGAUCUGUGUGGCCAAGAGUAGUGAGAGGGAUAGCCUUGGAUGUCCACAGAGGCAGGACUCCAAGAGGAGAGCAGUGGGUGCUGCUGAGUGUCCUGCCAUCCUGGGCGUGGGGCUGGCAGCUGGCCAAGGUCUUGUGCCAGUAAUUAGAUGGUGACUAGAGAGGCUGCUGAGAGUGGAAAGUAGGCUCUGAAUUUGGCCCACUUGGGCAGUGUGGGUGGCCCUGCUUACUUCCAGCUUCGAGGCUUGAGUGAGUCACCAGGGCCACCCCAGGAUGCUCAGAGCACACGGCAGAGUCCAGAAUGCCUUUGGUCCUGGCAUGUGACCCUGGCCAUCAUCCUGGUCCUUUCUGGAGCUUGAUGACCCAUUGCGUGCAGUCAUUGGAGAAGGCUGCGACAGGCCAGGAGAAGGCCUGUAAUGUAAUUGACAUGGUUCCCCCACUGACCAUAUGGGAACAGUCAUAAAAAUCACCCGCGUGGGUCUCAUUUUACAGUUUACAGAGGAGGCAUUUGGGCUGUAUCAGCUACCAGCUGGGCAGCCUGGUGCUGCUCCAGCCUUGGAGACCUCGGUUUCCUCGUUUGGGAAACAGAAAAAAGUCACUUUGCUGUACCUGUCUGUGCCAUGGGCUUGUUCUCUGGGCAAGAAGAAAGGGGCAGGAGGAAGAAGAGGUAAAGAGGAAGAAGUGGAGCUUGGCAGAUAGGGGGAAAGGCUGAGAGAAAGGCUGCUGGCCUGGGUUGUAGGUGGGGUGGGAGCGAGGCCCGUUACUCCUCGUGGUUGUCUGAGGCCUCUGAAUAACCUUUCCGUGGACAUUGCCACAUUACAAGCAGGCCUUGUGAUAAUAUUCUUUCUAGCUGCAAAAUUAGCUUAUUUCUAGG
rnacentral:lncRNA from 1 species